GAAAGAAUGAGCAGAGCUGAAUUCAUAUCUCAUAUUGCAGGUGCAGCUAAAUGACACAAAGCAGUGGGUGAAGAGGGUGGAGAAAGCUUCAGAGUUUGCUGUAGCUGAGGUGUUUUCCAUCAAGAAACCAUGUGGUAGAAAAAAAAACUAUGGCUCUGCAGACUGUACAGGAUCACGAUGAUGUGUACAGUGAAGCUCAGUCAAUUCUAAGUGAAUGGAUGAACCAGAAAUUACGUCUGGAGCUUGAAAUGGAUGAUGACGAGGAGGAAGAGGAGAUGGAAGAAUCCAAACCAAAUCCUAUAAUAACUUUGAUGGUACAAAUGAAAUGAAGGAAGUACCUUCUUUGUUUUUUGAAGUUUACCUUAAGAAUUCACAUAAAAUCUGUAAAAGUGUAAAAAUCAUAAAGUUAUUUUAGUGUUGUUUAUAUACUAUUAUAAUAUGUAUUAAUAUUUUGAAUUAGCUUUUAUUUUUAGAUUUUCAGUUUUCAUCAAUUUUUAGUAAUUUUAUUUGUGCUUUUGUCAUUUAAAAAAAAAUAUUUAUUUCUGUAUAACUUUAUUUUAAUUUUUAGUUUUAGUCGUUUUUGUACUUUAACUUAAUUCAUGGUUCAAGGUUCAGUUCAGGGCUAUUAUAAUUAACUAACACUAAAUCUGAACUAAAAUUAAAACCAUUCAAAAAUGUUGUUACUUAAAAUAAAAUAAACGUUUAAUUAAAAAAAAAAAAAACCUUUUUUAGUUAGUUGCCAAGGCAACGUUUCUCUUUUUAAUGUAGUUAAACUUGGUACUAAAAUAAACUGAAACUGAAAUAAAAACGAAUAUAUAUAUAAAACUCCUAAAA
rnacentral:lncRNA from 1 species